GGCUGAGAAGAAAGAGAAUAAGAAAGCGCCUACACCAUUCUCACCAUCACCCACCCACUCACUCAUUGCCUCAUGUUUUUCCGAUCGUGGUGACCCAUUGAUCACGGGAAGGCACCCGUGUUUUGUACCGUUGCACCCUGUUCUCUGCCACCGCUACCAAGUGACGCUGCAGGAUUUCCCCUCGACCUGUUGCCGUCAACGAGCUAUAGCGUGUGCUGGAAAAGUUUUAAAGCCGACCACUCGGUCGGGCUUCGUGACACUCGGUUUGGUUCAGAGACUCGAAGCGCGAGAGAGGAGUAAGAAAAACAUCACUCGACAUCCUGCCCUCAUUUCACGAUGAGGACCGACUUGCUGACUUUCUUGCUUCUCGUGUUUGCCUUUGGCGCUUUGACGGACAUGGCAGCAGCAUACGAAGUGACCCACUUCGACAUAGGUCUUGGAUGCCCGAAUUCAUUGCUGACUUGUUCCCAAGAAUGCCGAAGUACUUACGGUCAUAGAGGAGGAUACUGCAAUGGGCCGUUCAACAUUGUCUGUACCUGCACCUAACCAGACAUCAAAAGGGACUUGCGACGCGGCCACUACGUCGCUAUUCGUGAUCAUCACAAUCAAGUCACAAGUCGAAUGAUCAUCAGACGAAUGGUGAUUGCGUCACUAUUCGUGUUCAGAGUCUUUUUAAGGGUCACUGACUGAUGUGCUAAUUGACGUGGUAUAUAGCUAAGCAUUGUACCAUAAAAAUGGUCUAUUUCAUUACACUACCUCAAUGUUAUUUAUGGACGUUAAUUUAUCCUAUGUCAGGAAUAAAGGUUCUUUGUUACAGGUAGGUUUCUCAUCUAGUGAACCCCAACUGAUGUUUCUAGCUAGACGCGCUUUUGAUGUGGUUGUAUGCAAUAUGUGUGGAUAUGUGGAAGUGAUUAUACUUCGCGUGUACCAUUAGUUCUUUCUUUUAUCUCUUUUUAUUCUUUCUUUAAAUCUUGUCCUUGUGCUUCUCAAUGAACACAAACAUUUUCGGCUACUUUUUAUUGUUUUUCGGAGCCGUGGAAUUCAUGCGAAACCUAUUGUUCUUUUUUUUUCUUUGGGGAGAGGGUAUUGCCAUGCUGUGUUGGUAGCAGAAGAAGAGAGCGAACAAGUGAUUGGGUGCAAUGGCUGAGUAAACAGUCGUUUGCUUCGAGUACCGGUUUGUCGUUUCCUCUUGCGACAAUAGUAUUAGCCAUGAAUUGCUAUGGCUG